GAUGAGUCGAUGUGGUGAUGGAUGUGUGGGAAUGGGCAAGUUACAGCACAGCCAGACUGUUCCUCCAGUGCCUCACUUGUCAACCCACAGCCCCAGAAAGCCAUGACCAGUCUGUGCAAGUGGCAGCAGGCAAACUUGGAAAAACCCAACCCAAACCAAACCCCAUAUGACCUUUUUCCUUCUAUUUCCCUCUAGGCCUUCAAAUGAGUCUUCCUCAGUGCUGUCAGCCACAGAAGGUGGAUCCAGCUGCUGGUCAUCUGCACGAAUUAGCACUUCCAUGAGCAAGGAAGCCAAGUCCACCUGUGCAGGAUGAGUGGACUGGGGCACUCUGUGGGUUUGAAUCUCAAGGCUGAGCUCUUGUGGGAAUUUGCUGAUGUCGAAUUCUGCAGAUGUUUUCUUGGAUUCCUCUAUCUUCCCCACGAGAUAAUGAUGGCUUAGUUUAAACAAGCCUGGUAUCCCUAAGGCUAUUGCCUUCACCCUUCUCCCUGGUUUGCAGUAAGAAGGAAGGUUAGCUCCAGCCAGGAGGGUGCUGAAGCAUGGAGUCUACAUAUGCGAGAUGCACAAGACUGGACAUCAGAGCCUGUGUUACUGAGAGAAAUGCUGGCUGUGGUGCUCAGGGUAGUGAUAGUAACUUACACAGCUAAUAGAAAACACUAUAAAAAUGGAAGAAACUAAGAACAAAUAAAAAAAUAAAAAAUAAUAAGUAGUCAGAGUUCCAAAA